rnacentral:rRNA from 1 species
UUCGGGGGGGGCAAGCGUUGUUCGGAAUUACUGGGCGUAAAGGGCUCGUAGGCGGCCAACUAAGUCGGAUGUGAAAUCCCCAGGCUUAACCUGGGAACUGCAUCCGAUACUGGAUGGCUUGAAUCCGGGAGAGGGAUGCGGAAUUCCAGGUGUAGCGGUGAAAUGCGUAGAUAUCUGGAGGAACACCGGUGGCGAAGGCGACUUUCUGGUCUGUAACUGACACUGAGGCGCGAAAGCGUGGGGAGCAAACAGG